rnacentral:rRNA from 1 species
CUAAACUGAGGGAGGUACGUCGAAACUGACCGGCUAGAGGGACGUAGAGGUAAGCGGAACUCUCGGAGUAGCGGUGAAAUGCGUAGAGACCGAGAGGUACCCCGAUGGUGAAGACAGCUUACUGGGCGUCUCCUGACGCUGAAGCGCUAAGGCCAGGGGAGCAAAGGGGAUUAGAUACCCCCGUAGUCCUGGCUUCAAACGAUGUGGGCUUGGUGUCGGCCCCCUAUAGAGGGUCGUUGCCGGAGUUAACGCGUUAAGCCCACCGCCUGGGGAUUACGUCCGCAAGGAUGAGACUCAAGGGAAUUGACGGGGGCCCACACAACCGGUGGAGCACGUGGUUUAAUUCGAUGAUAAGCGAAGAACCUUACCAGGGCUUGACCUAGCGGUAGUAGAACCCCGAAAGGGGAACGACCUCAAGCUUUGCUUGAGGAGCC